GCGGACUCUGCCGAGCCGCCCUGGGGCUAGCAGGAAGCGGAGAAGCAAAGGCACUGACCCACCACGAGCGCAUGCGCAAUGCGUUUGUUGACUCCCCAGAGCAAGAAAUCCACUUUUACAGUCUCAUCUUUGUCAAGACAUGGAGCAGCUGAAGCUCCAGGACAAAGCCCAGAAGGACUUUACUCGGCCGUCCUGCCAAGCUGAUGCAGAGCCAUUUAUUUCAGUUGCUAAGCAGAUGCAAGAUUUUCUUCAAGCGAACAGGAAAGAGGGAAUCCUCUCCAGAAGAUGCUCCAGGUUUUUGGAGAAAAUGGGUGGAAAAAAAAUUCAAGAAGAGAAAAAUUGCCUCCUUCCUCUUCCAUUAGCCUUAAGAAAGGAAUUACUAAAAGGAUGCUACUUUUUUCCAUUGAAGAUUUUACAAAUCUUUGUAUUUAGGAUUCAACUUAAAGAGGAAACAUAGAAAGACAAAGUGUAAAUUAUCACAAAAAGAAACAAAGGUUUAUAAAAAUAGAAAGAAAUAUUUUGUCCUUCAAAAAGUUAUUACUCAAAGGAAAACCCUACUGUAUAAUGUGAUUAAUAAAUUUGUAAAUAUUUUCAAUGUUUAUUCAUUAUCUCCACUGAGAGAUUCAGUAGUUGAUCAUAACCAAUAAUUGGUUUGCUAGUUUAUAGAAUUAUUGCAACUUCUUGCAGUCAAAUAUUGCAAUCACUUUAUUAAAAUGUCUUUUAGCAUUUUAAAACUCAGAACCAAAAAUAAUUGUAAUAUACUGGUUUGCAUUCUUCAGCUACAUACAGCUACAAGUCUGUGCUCAAAUCUCCAGAUGACCACUAGAAGGCAGAAAAAGUAGCAAAAACUCAGUCUUAACAUUUCAGAUUGUCCAGAAGCUAGGCCCAUAAGACGUUAUGAUCUGUUUUCUGUCUCUGUAGUAACCUUUAACUCAGUCACAGCACAUAUUUAUAUCCUACCUUUAC